UACAGAGGGGGCAAGCGUUGUUCGGAAUUACUGGGCGUAAAGGGCGCGUAGGCGGCCGCCUAAGUCAGACGUGAAAUCCCUCGGCUCAACCGGGGAACUGCGUCUGAUACUGGGUGGCUUGAAUUCGGGAGAGGGAUGCGGAAUUCCAGGUGUAGCGGUGAAAUGCGUAGAUAUCUGGAGGAACACCGGUGGCGAAGGCGGCAUCCUGGACCGGCAUUGACGCUGAGGCGCGAAAGCCAGGGGAGCAAAGCGGGG
rnacentral:rRNA from 1 species